rnacentral:rRNA from 1 species
CGUAACACGUAUGCAACCUACCUAUCAUUGGGGGAUAGCCUUUGGAAACGGAGAUUAAUACCGCAUAAGACAGUAACAUGGCAUCAUGUAGCUGUUAAAGCUUCGGCGAUGAUAGAUGGGCAUGCGUCCAAUUAGUUAGUUGGUGAGGUAACGGCUCACCAAGACGAUGAUUGGUAGGGGAUCUGAGAGGAUAAUCCCCCACACUGGCACUGAGAUACGGGCCAGACUCCUACGGGAGGCAGCAGUAGGGAAUAUUGGGCAAUGGGCGGAAGUCUGACCCAGCCAUGCCGCGUGCAGGAUGAAGGCGUUAUGCGUUGUAAACUGCUUUUUUAUAGGAAGAAGGAGACCUUGCGAGGUUUGGUGACGGUACUAUAAGAAUAAGCACCGGCUAACUCCGUGCCAGCAGCCGCGGUAAUACGGAGGGUGCGAGCGUUGUCCGGAUUUAUUGGGUUUAAAGGGUGCGUAGGCGGUUUAUUAAGUCAGUGGUGAAAGACGGUCGCUCAACGAUUGCAGUGCCAUUGAUACUGGUAGACUUGAGUUCGUAUGAGGUA